UACUUAAAAUAUGAGAUAAGAUUUGACUCAUGGCCGUGAUGGUACAUUGUAUUGUGGUGGCAUGGUGUCCACCACUUGUAUUGCACAAGAUCUCGUGUUCUUAUCCCGGCCUCCUAUGGCGGCAUGCGAUCGACCAGCCAGCAGAAGUUUAGCAGAUGCAGAAGGUUCCGAAGGAGAAAUUAUUGUACGCCUCGUUUGACUUAGUCUACCGUAUUUAUUAUAGGCUAAAUCUAUCUGAUAAUUUCUCCUUUUGAAAAUCAUACAUGGGAUAUUGCAUCCAACC
rnacentral:lncRNA from 1 species